UGUUUUGAUCAGAAUAAAAUGGUUUUAAAAUCAUUAUUCUCUUUUCCCCCCUCAUUUUAUCAUUUUCCUCCCUCCCCUUCUCUCCCUCAGGUCCUGUGGUCCUGUUGAUGGCAUUCGUAUCAUUAAAGACACUAGGACUGGCAUUAACAAAGGGUUUGUUUAUGUCAAAUUCAAAGACAGCAGCUCUGUCGUAUUUGCUUGCAAAAAUGAAAGAAUUGAACUAGAGGGAUGGAAACUAAGAGUCUUUUGCUGUCACUGCGAUAAGGUUGAUCCAGAAUGGCUUUAUCAACUUGCACCAAAUUUUUAUCAAUAUGGAACUGAAAGAGAAAUAGCAGAAUCAAAGAAGAAAAAGUUAGAAGAUUUGCCAGUUAACACUUGAAAGCCUUCAAAUGCUGUAUGUGUUUAUUUUAUUAAAAUAACCAGAUUCUGCUGAGUCAUCCGGUAUCGCAUAUUAUAAGCACUCAAACUUUUCCCUCUUCCUUCAAGUCCACCACAAUGCCUAAUUAUAACAAUAAAGUCGACGUAAUCAGAGCACAUUUCACAAGUUCAUUUCCAGACUACUCAUACUGAUGUGGAUUGGCUUGUUACUGGCCUUGCCCUCCGAACUAUCACAUACACUUCUAAUUGCAUUUUCUCAUAAUCCACACGUCUA